CUACGGGAUGCUGCAGUGAGGAAUUUUGCGCAAUGGGGGGAACCCUGACGCAGCAACGCCGCGUGAGUGAUGAAGGCUUUCGGGUCGUAAAGCUCUGUCAAGUGGGGAGAACCUAUGCAGUGUUAAUAUCACUGUAUACUGACGGUACCACUGAAGGAAGCACCGGCUAACUCCGUGCCAGCAGCCGCGGUAAUACGGGGGGUGCAAGCGUUAUUCGGAAUCAUUGGGCGUAAAGGGCACGUAGGCGGCUUGGUAAGUCAGAUGUGAAAGCCCGGGGCUUAACCCCGGAAGUGCAUUUGAUACUGUCAGGCUUGAGUAUGGGAGAGGGAAGUGGAAUUCCUGGUGUAGAGGUGAAAUUCGUAGAUAUCAGGAGGAACACCGGUGGCGAAGGCGACUUCCUGGACCAAUACUGACGCUGAGGUGCGAAGGCGUGGGUAGCAAACAGGAUUAGAUACCCGCGUAGUC
rnacentral:rRNA from 1 species